rnacentral:rRNA from 1 species
UACGUAGGGGGCAAGCGUUGUCCGGAAUCAUUGGGCGUAAAGCGCGUGUAGGCGGCCCGGUAAGUCCGCUGUGAAAGUCCAGGGCUCAACCCUGGAAUGCCGGUGGAUACUGUCGGGCUUGAGUACGGAAGAGGCGAGUGGAAUUCCUGGUGUAGCGGUGAAAUGCGCAGAUAUCAGGAGGAACACCAAUUGCGAAGGCAGCUCGCUGGGACGUUACUGACGCUGAGACGCGAAAGCGUGGGGAGCAAACAGG